rnacentral:lncRNA from 1 species
GGAUUUUGGGAGAUUUCAAAUUAGGAGUUUUCGGAUUUUAGGUGAAGUCGAAAUCAAUGGCGAACAAACGUAGAACGAUGAUGGUGACCUAGUGGACGUCGGACGGUGUGACUGGUGGACACUGGACGAUGGUGACUAGCAAUAGGGAUUUUUGAAGAUUUUAGAUUAGGUAUUUUCAAUUUAGGGUUAGGGAUUUUUUAAC